rnacentral:lncRNA from 1 species
UACCGAAAAAUGGCAUCAUCCGGGUCAGUACCGGGAAAAGGUAGAAUCCGUGCGAGUGUCGAAAAACUGUCCCGGGGAGUACCGGAAAAGGGUCGAAUCUUUGUGAGUACCGAAAAAUGGCAUCAUCCGGGUCAGUACCGGGAAAAGGUAGAAUCCGUGCGAGUGUCGAAAAACUGUCUCGGGGAGUACCGAAAAAGGGUCGAAUCUGUGUGAGUACCGCAAACUGGCAUCAUCCGGGUCAGUACCGGGAAAAGGUAGAAUCCGUGCGAGUGUCGAAAAACAGUCUCGGGGAGUACCGAAAAAGGGUCGAAUCUGUGUGAGUACCGAAAAAUGGCAUCAUCCGGGUCAGUAUCGGGAAAAGGUAGCAUCCGUGCGAGUGUCGAAAAACUGUCCCGGGGAGUACCGGAAAAGGUUCGAAUCUGUGUGAGUACCGAAAAAUGGCAUAAUCCGGGUCAGUACCGGGAAAAGGUAGAAUCCGUGCGAGUGUCGAAAAACUGUCCCGGGGAGUACUGGAAAAGGGUCGAAUCUGUGUGAGUACCGAAAAAUGGCAUAAUCCGGGUCAGUACCGGGAAAAGGUAGAAUCCGUGCGAGUGUCGAAAAACUGUCUCGGGGAGUACCGAAAAAGGGUCGAAUCUGUGUGAGUACCGAAAAAUGGCAUAAUCCGGGUCAGUACCGGGAAAAGGUAGAAUCCGUGCGAGUGUCGAAAAACUGUCCCGGGGAGUACCGAAAAAGGGUCGAAUCUGUGUUAGUACCGAAAAAUGGCAUAAUCCGGGUCAGUACCGGAAAAAGGUAGAAUCUGUGUGAGUACCGAAAAAUGACAUUAUCGGGGUCAGUACCGGGAAAAGGUAGAAUCCGUGCGAGUGUCGAAAAACUGUCCCGGGGAGUACCGGAAAAGGGUCGAAUGUGUGUGAGUACCAAAAAAUGGCAUCAUCCGGGUCAGUACCAGGAAAAGGUAGAAUCCGUGCGAGUGUCGAAAAACUGUCCCGGGGAGUACCGGAAAAGGGUCGAAUCUGUGUGAGUUCCGAAAAAUGGCAUUAUCGGGGUCAGUACCGGGAAAAGGUCGAAUCCGUGCGAGUGUCGAAAAACUGUCCCGGGGAGUACCGAAAAAUGGUUGAAUAUGUGUGAGUAUCGAAAAAUGGAGGAAUCCGGGUCAGUACCGGGAAAAGGUAGAAUCCGUGGGAGUGUCAAAAAACUGCCCCGGGGAGUACCGGAAAAGGAUCGAAUCUGUGUGAGUACCGAAAAAUGGCAUAAUCCGUGUCAGUACCGGGAAAAGGUAGAAUCAUGCGAGUGUCGAAAAAUUGUCCCGGCGAGUAUAAAAAAGGGCCGAAUCUGUGUUAGUACCGAAAAAUGGCAUAAUGGGGAUCAGUACCGGAAAAAGGUAGAAUCUGUAUGAGUACCGAAAAAUGACAUUAUCGGGGUCAGUACCGGGAAGAGGUAGAAUCCGUGCGAGUGUCGAAAACGGUCCCGGGGAGUACCGGAAAAAGAUAGAAUCUGUGUGNNNNNNNNNNNNNNNNNNNNNNNNNNNNNNNNNNNNNNNNNNNNNNNNNNNNNNNNNNNNNNNNNNNNNNNNNNNNNNNNNNNNNNNNNNNNNNNNNNNNAAAAAGAUAGAAUCUGUGUGAGUACCGAAAAAUGGCAUAUUCCGGGUCAGUACCGGGAAAAGGUAGAAUCCGUGCGAGUGUCGAAAGACUGUCCCGGGGAGUACCGGAAAAGGAUCGAAUCUGUUUGAGUACCGAAAAAUUGAAGAAUCUGGGUCAGUACCAGGAAAAGGUAGAAUCAUGCGAGUAUCGAAAAACUGUCCCGUCGAGUAUCAAAAAGGGUCUAAUCUGUGUUAGUACCAAAAAAUAGCAUAAUCGGGGUCAGUUGAAAAGGUAGAAUCCGUGAGAGUGUCGAAAAACUCGACCGGGGAGUACCGGAAAAGGAUCGAAUCACUGUGAGUACCGAAAAAUGGCAUAAUCCGGGUCAGUACCGGGAAAAGGUAGAAUCCGUGCGAGUGUCGAAAAACUGUCCUGGGGAGUACCGGAAAAGGACCGAAUCUGUGUAAGAACCGAAAAAUGGCAUAUUCCGGGUCAGUACCGGGAAAAGGUAGAAUCCGUGCGAGUGUCGAAAAACUGUCCUGGGGAGUACCGGAAAAGGACCGAAUCUGUGUAAGAACCGAAAAAUGGCAUAUUCCGGGUCAGUACCGGAAAAGGUAGAAUCCGUGUGAGUGUCCAAAAACUGUCCCGAGAAGUACAGGAAAAGGAUCGAAUCUGUUUGAGUACCGAAAAAUGGCAUAAUCCGGGUCAAUACCGGGAAAAUGUUGAAUCCGUGCAAGUGUUGAAAAACUUUCUUGGGGAGUACCGAAAAAAGACCGAAUCUGUGUAAGAACCGAAAAAUGGCAUAUUUCGGGUCAGUAUCGGGAAAAGGUAGAAUCCGUGCGAGUGUCGAAAAACUGUCCCGAGAAGUACAUGAAAAGGAUCAAAUCUGUUUGAGUACCAAAAAAUGGCAUAAUCCGGGUCAAUACCGGGAAAAGGUUGAAUCCGUGCGAGUGUUGAAAAACUGUCCUGGGGAGUACCGGAAAAGGAUCGAAUUUGUGUGAGUACCGAAAAAUGGCAUAAUCCUGGUCAAUACCGGGAAAAGGUAGAAUCCGUGCAAGUGUCGAAAAACUGUCCCGGGGAGUACCGGAAAAGGGUCGAAACUGUGUGAGUACCGAAAAAUGGAGGAAUCCUGGUCAGUACCAACAAAAGGUAGAAUCCGUGCGAGUGUUGAAAAACUGUCCUGGGAAGUACCGGAAAAGGAUCGAAUCUGUGUAAGAACCCAAAAAAUGGCAUAUUCCUGGUCAGUACCGGGAAAAGGUAGAAGCCGUGCGAGUGUCGAAAAAAUGCCACGGGGAGUACCGGAAAAGGGUCGAAUCUGUGUGAGUACCGAAAAAAUGGCAUCAUCCGGGUCAGUACCGGGAAAAGGUAGAAUCCGUGCAAGUGUCGAAAAA